rnacentral:rRNA from 1 species
UGAUAGGUCAGGUGUGUAAGCGCAGUAAUGCGUUCAGCUAACUGAUACUAAUUGCCCGUAAGGCUUGAUCCUAUAACC